rnacentral:rRNA from 1 species
AUACGUAGGGGGCGAGCGUUGUCCGGAAUGACUGGGCGUAAAGGGCGUGUAGGCGGCCGAUUAAGUCUGGAGUGAAAGUCCUGCUUUCAAGGUGGGAAUUGCUUUGGAGACUGGUCGGCUUGAGUGCGGAAGAGGUAAGUGGAAUUCCCAGUGUAGCGGUGAAAUGCGUAGAGAUUGGGAGGAACACCAGUGGCGAAGGCGACUUACUGGGCCGUAACUGACGCUGAGGCGCGAAAGCGUGGGGAGCGAACAGGAUUAGAUACCCUGGUAGUCCACGCGGUAAACGAUGAAUGCUAGGUGUAGGGGGUAUCGACCCCUCCUGUGCCGGAGUGAACACAAUAAGCAUUCCGCCUGGGGAGUACGGCCGCAAGGUUGAAACUCAAAUGAAUUGACGGGG